UACGGGGGGGGCAAGCGUUGUUCGGAAUUACUGGGCGUAAAGGGCGCGUAGGCGGUUGGAUAAGUUGGUGGUGAAAACCUCGAGCUUAACUCGGGGCCUGCCAUCAAUACUGCCCAGCUGGAGUGUGGGAGAGGAGAGUGGAAUUCCUGGUGUAGCGGUGAAAUGCGUAGAUAUCAGGAGGAACACCGGUGGCGAAGGCGGCCCUCUGGACGGCUACUGACGCUGAGACGCGAAAGCGUGGGGAGCAAACAGG
rnacentral:rRNA from 1 species